GCUAUGUUCCAAGUUUAUGGUUCCAGCAGCUCUGCAGUGCCAUGAGGAGCCUUGUGAAAUUGCCUUUAAAGAAAAGGCAAACCAUUUACCAGGAAGAAAGUUGAACAUUGGGUUCACAACCAGGGCUAAACUUAACAAAUUACUCGACGAGGGUGACAUCACACCACAGCAGGUGGAUUCAUUCCAUGAAGCUGUGUUGUGUUUCCUGACAAGUGCUGUGGACUAUGCACUUAAGAAGCUGCCACUGGAAGAGCCACUGAUCAAGCACGCACAAUUUGUAGAUGUACGGCAGAGGGCUGAAAGUGACUCUGUUGAAAGGUUUCCCCAUCUCCUCCCAUACCAUGGGCCAGAGGAGCAUGAC